CGUGUAGGCGGCUAAUUAAGUCUGAUGUGAAAUACCAAGGCUCAACUUUGGAACUGCAUCGGAAACUGGAUAGCUAGAGUGUGGGAGAGGAAAGCGGAAUUCUCAGUGUAGCGGUGAAAUGCGUAGAUAUUGAGAGGAACACCGGUGGCGAAGGCGGCUUUCUGGACCAUAACUGACGCUGAGGCGCGAAAGCGUGGGUAGCAAACA
rnacentral:rRNA from 1 species